UACGUAGGGUGCGAGCGUUGUCCGGAAUUAUUGGGCGUAAAGAGCUCGUAGGCGGUGUGUCACGUCGGCCGUGAAAACCUGCAGCUUAACUGUGGGCGUGCGGUCGAUACGGGCAUCACUGGAGUUCGGCAGGGGAGACUGGAAUUCCUGGUGUAGCGGUGAAAUGCGCAGAUAUCAGGAGGAACACCGGUGGCGAAGGCGGGUCUCUGGGCCGAUACUGACGCUGAGGAGCGAAAGCUAGGGGAGCGAACGGG
rnacentral:rRNA from 1 species